CCUACGGGUGGCAGCAGUAGGGAAUUUUCGGCAAUGGGGGGAACCCUGACCGAGCAACGCCGCGUGAACGAAGAAGUUAUUCGUAAUGUAAAGUUCUUUUAACAGGGAAGAAAGAGAAAUUUGACGGUACCUGAAGAGUAAGCUCCGGCUAACUACGUGCCAGCAGCCGCGUUAAUACGUAGGGGGCGAGCUUUAUCCGGAAUGAUUGGGCGAAAGGGGUGCGUAGAUGGCAUAGUAAGUCUUUUGUAAAAAUGCUGGGCUAAACCCAGUAGGGCAAAAGAUACUGCAAAGCUAGAGUAUGACAGAGGAAAGUGGAACUACAUGUGUAGCGGUAAAAUGCGUAAAUAUAUGGAAGAACACCAGUGGCGAAGGCGGCUUGCUGGGUCGAUACUGACGUUGAGGCACGAAAGCGUGGGGAGCAAACAGGAUUAGAUACCCGUGUAGUC
rnacentral:rRNA from 1 species